GACGAACGCUGGCGGCGUGCCUAAUACAUGCAAGUUGAGCGCUGAAGACUGGUACUUGUACCGGUUGGAUGAGCAGCGAACGGGUGAGUAACGCGUGGGUAACCUGCCCUAUAGAGGGGGUAAACUAGAGGAAACUUUAGCUAAUCCCGAAUAAAAUCUAAUAACACAUGUUAUAAGAUUGAAAGUGCCAAUUGUUACCUAUAAGGAUGACCCGGCGUUGUAUUAGCUAGUUGGUGAGGUAAAGGCCCACCAAGGCGAUGAUACAUAGCCGACCUGAGAGGGUGAUCGGCCACACUGGGACUGAGACACGGCCCAGACUCCUACGGGAGGCAGCAGUAGGGAAUCUUCGGCAAUGGACGAAAGUCUGACCGAGCAACGCCGCGUGAGUGAAGAAGGUUUUCGGAUCGUAAAACUCCGUUGUAAGAGAAGAACACCAGUAAGAGUGGAAAGCUUACUGGCUGACGGUAUCUUACCAGAAAGCCACGGCUAACUACGUGCCAGCAGCCGCAGUAA
rnacentral:rRNA from 1 species